UACGUAGGGAGCAAGCGUUGUCCGGAAUCAUUGGGCGUAAAGAGCGCGUAGGUGGCUUUAUAAGUCCGUUGUGAAAGUCAAAGGCUCAACCUUUGAAAGCCGAUGGAUACUGUGAAGCUAGAGUACGGAAGAGGCGAGUGGAAUUCCUGGUGUAGCGGUGGAAUGCGCAGAUAUCAGGAGGAACACCAAUAGCGAAGGCAGCUCGCUGGGACGUUACUGACACUGAGGCGCGAAAGCGUGGGGAGCGAACAGGAUUGAGAA
rnacentral:rRNA from 1 species